rnacentral:lncRNA from 1 species
AUGUUUUCUUACUCUGCAAUCCAGGGUCUAUCCCACUGCAUGCUAUGUUUCAAACAAUCUGGUCCACUGAAGGCAAGGGGAUCUUUCAGCAUUUACAGGGGCGAAAAACACUCAACACAUGUUAGUGCCAGUUCAAAGUUGUUGCUUUUUCCCCUUGAAACAAAGAAGCAUUAUGAAGUCAACAAAACUGUUUCCACAUCAUGGAUAGAUUGGCAUGCAAUCUUCUCAAAAAGAGUCGGAGGAGAGAAGUCAAAAGAAGAAUCAAAGGUUGUGUCUUUGGAUGUGAAGGAGAAUGGUGUUCUUCACAGCCAUAGAAAAUGGAAGAGGUAAAGGUUUUGCAGGUUCUAGGAGAACAGUUCCAGACGUUUUAACACUUGAAAAUUGUCAUCUGCAGAAAUCAGCAGUGUUGCACUCACAGUAAGCUUGAGUUUUUAUGCCUUUCUUCUAUGUGACUGGUCAUCAGGCCAGGAACUGUCUCAUCUACUUCUUCUCCAUUUUUAAUGUG